GUGGGUCGCCCCAUAGCGGGGGUUGGGCCACCCCAUAGCAGGGCAUGGGCUGCCCCAUAGCGGGGGUUGGGCUGCCCCAUAGUGCGGGUUGGGCCACCCCAUAGCACGGGUUCGGCUGCCCCAUAGCAGGGGUUGGGCCGCCUCGUAGCGGGGGUAGGGCUGCCCCAUAGCGCACCUUGGGCUGCCCCAUAGUGCGGGUUCGGCUGCCCCAUAGCACGGGUUGGGCUGCCCCGUAGCAGGGGUAGGGCUGCCCCAUAGCACACCUUGGGCUGCCCCAUGGCAGGGGUUGGGCCGCCCCAUAGCGGGGGUUGGGCUGCCCCAUAGAGGUGGUGGGUUGCCCCAUAGCGCACCACGGGGGUGGGACCCCCCAUAGCAGGGGUUGGGCUGCCCCAUAGCAGGGGUUGGGCUGCCCCAUAGUGCGGGUUGGGCUGCCCCAUAGCGGGGGUUGGGCUGCCCCAUAGUAAGGGUUGGGCUGCCCCAUAGAGGGGGUGGGUUGCCCCAUGGCAGGGGUUGGGCUGCCCCACAGAGAUGGUGGGUCGCCCCAUAGCGCGGGUUGGGCUGCCCCAUAGCGGGGUCAGGACGCCCCAUAGAGGUACAGGGCUGCCCCAUAGAGGGGGUGGGACACCCCACAGAACUUUAGGACGCCCCAUAGCGGGGUCAGGAUGCCCCAUAGAGGCACAGGGCUGCCCCAUAGAGGGGGUGGGACACCCCACAGAACUUUAGGA
rnacentral:lncRNA from 1 species